CAGAAUUGCCUUCAGUCAAUUGCAAAAGGCAGCUUGACUGGAAACAGCUGACAUCCUGCAACAAUACCUUUGAUAUUAUUAAACAUCUGGCUGUCCUUGGGAAGGACUCGAUAGGUGGACAAAAAAGGCCAAAUCCAGUCAAAACAUCUGG